AUUGAACGCUGGCGGCAGGCCUAACACAUGCAAGUCGAGCGGUAGAGAGAAGCUUGCUUCUCUUGAGAGCGGCGGACGGGUGAGUAAUGCCUAGGAAUCUGCCUGGUAGUGGGGGAUAACGUUCGGAAACGGACGCUAAUACCGCAUACGUCCUACGGGAGAAAGCAGGGGACCUUCGGGCCUUGCGCUAUCAGAUGAGCCUAGGUCGGAUUAGCUAGUUGGUGAGGUAAUGGCUCACCAAGGCGACGAUCCGUAACUGGUCUGAGAGGAUGAUCAGUCACACUGGAACUGAGACACGGUCCAGACUCCUACGGGAGGCAGCAGUGGGGAAUAUUGGACAAUGGGCGAAAGCCUGAUCCAGCCAUGCCGCGUGUGUGAAGAAGGUCUUCGGAUUGUAAAGCACUUUAAGUUGGGAGGAAGGGCAGUUACCUAAUACGU
rnacentral:rRNA from 1 species